CAGCAGUAGGGAAUCUUCGGCAAUGGGGGCAACCCUGACCGAGCAACGCCGCGUGAGUGAAGAAGGUUUUCGGAUCGUAAAACUCUGUUGUUAGAGAAGAACGUUAAGUAGAGUGGAAAUUACUUAAGUGACGGUAUCUAACCAGAAAGGGACGGCUAAACUACGUGCCAGCAGCCGCGGUAAUACGUAGGUCCCAAGCGUUGUCCGGAUUUAUUGGGCGUAAAGCGAGCGCAGGUGGUUUCUUAAGUCUGAUGUAAAAGGCAGUGGCUCAACCAUUGUGUGCAUUGGAAACUGGGAGACUUGAGUGCAGGAGAGGAGAGUGGAAGUUCCAUGUGUAGCGGUGAAAUAGCGUAGAUAUAUGGAGGAACACCGGAGGCGAAAGACGGCUCUCUGGCCUGUAACUGACACUGAGGCUCGAAAGCGUGGGGAGCAAACAGGAUUAGAUACCCCUGGUAG
rnacentral:rRNA from 1 species